rnacentral:rRNA from 1 species
CCUACGGGAGGCAGCAGUGGGGAAUAUUGGGCAAUGGGCGCAAGCCUGACCCAGCAACGCCGCGUGAAGGAAGAAGGCUUUCGGGUUGUAAACUUCUUUUGUCAGGGAAGAGUAGAAGACGGUACCUGACGAAUAAGCCACGGCUAACUACGUGCCAGCAGCCGCGGUAAUACGUAGGUGGCAAGCGUUUUCCGGAUUUACUGGGUGUAAAGGGCGGGUAGCCGGGUUGAAAAGUCAGAUGUGAAAUCCUGCGGCUUAACCGAAGAACUGCAUUUGAAACUGUUGAUCUUGAGUACUGGAGAGGCAGACGGAAUUCCUAGUGUAGCGGUGAAAUGCGUAGAUAUUAGGAGGAACACCAGUGGCGAAGGCGGUCUGCUGGACAGCAACUGACGGUGAGGCGCGAAAGCGUGGGGAGCAAACAGGAUUAGAUACCCCUGUAGUC